ACAGAAAAGAACCGCCGGGCGCACUGCGCUCGGUAAGGGUGAAAAGGCGAGGUAAGAGCUCACCGCCCCAGUCGGAAUACGGGGGGACAG
rnacentral:RNase_P_RNA from 1 species